rnacentral:rRNA from 1 species
GGGACUANCCGAUACAUCGCGCCAACGAUUAAAAGCCUGGAAUCCUGCUUUCAGGUACGCGCCUCACACUCUCGCGGCAAUCUGAGCUGUCAGGGCGAGCCUCAGCACUCCAGCGUAACUGCGGUGAAGUGGGGGAUAGCUCGCCGAAAGGCGAAUUAAUACCGCAUGUGGCCAGAGGGGACAUCCCCUCGACGCCAAAGUCGCAAGACGCUUCCUGAUGAGCUCGCGGCCUAUCAGCUUGUUGGUGAGGUAACGGCUCACCAAGGCUAUGACGGGUAGCUGGUCUGAGAGGACGACCAGCCACACUGGAACUGAGACACGGUCCAGACACCUACGGGUGGCAGCAGUCGAGAAUUUUUCACAAUGGGGGCAACCCUGAUGGAGCGACGCCGCGUGGAGGAUGAAGGUCUUCGGAUUGUAAACUCCUGUCAUGCGAGAACAAGAAAGUGAUAGUAUCGCAAGAGGAAGAGACGGCUAACUCUGUGCCAGCAGCCGCGGUAAUACAGAGGUCUCAAGCGUUGUUCGGAUUCAUUGGGCGUAAAGGGUGCGUAGGCGGCGUGGUAAGUUGAGUGUGAAAUCCUAGGGCUUAACCUUAGAACUGCACUCAAUACUGCCAUGCUUGAGGAAUGUAGAGGAGAGUGGAAUUCACGGUGUAGCAGUGAAAUGCGUAGAUAUCGUGAGGAAGACCAGUUGCGAAGGCGACUCUCUGGCAUCUCCUGACGCUGAGGCACGAAGGCUAGGGGAGCAAACGGGAUAGAUACCCGGUAGUCCUAG